rnacentral:rRNA from 1 species
AUCAACUUUCGAUGGUAGGAUAGAGGCCUACCAUGGUGGUAACGGGUAACGGGGUGUUAGGGCACGACACCGGAGAGGGAGCCUGAGAAACGGCUACCACAUCCAAGGAUGGCAGCAGGCGCGCAAAUUACCCAAUCCCGACACGGGGAGGUAGUGACAAUAAAUAACAAUACGGGGCUCUUUAGGGUCUCGUAAUUGGAAUGAGUACAAUUUAAAUCUCUUAACGAGGAACAAUUGGAGGGCAAGUCUGGUGCCAGCAGCCGCGGUAAUUCCAGCUCCAAUAGCGUAUAUUAAAGUUGUUGCAGUUAAAAAGCUCGUAGUUGAAUUUCGGGAUCAGCAGGUUGGUCGUGCCUUUGGUAUGCACUGGUUUCGCUGAUUCCUCCUUUCUGAAGAACUGUAAUGUCAUUAAUUUGGUGUUGCAGGGAAACAGGACUGUUACUUUGAAAAAAUUAGAGUGUUUAAAGCAGGCUAAGGCUUGAAUACAUUAGCAUGGAAUAAUGAAAUAGGACGUUUGAUCCUAUUUUGUUGGUUUCUAGGAUUGACGUAAUGAUUAAUAGGGAUAGUUGGGGGCAUUAGUAUUCAAUUGUCAGAGGUGAAAUUCUUGGAUUUAUUGAAGACUAACUACUGCGAAAGCAUUUGCCAAGGAUGUUUUCAUUAAUCAAGAACGAAAGUUAGGGGAUCGAAGACGAUCAGAUACCGUCGUAGUCUUAACCAUAAACUAUGCCGACUAGGGAUCGGAUGAUGUUAAUUUUUUAAUGACUCGUUCGGCGCCUUACGGGAAACCAAAGUGUUUGGGUUC